GACGAACGCUGGCGGCGUGCUUAACACAUGCAAGUCGAACGGUGAUGAUGGGGCUUGCUCUGUCUGAUCAGUGGCGAACGGGUGAGUAACACGUGAGUAACCUGCCCCUGACUCUGGGAUAACCGUGGGAAACGACGGCUAAUACCGGAUAUGAGACGUCCACGCAUGUGGAGCGUCUGGAAAGAUUUAUUGGUCUGGGAUGGACUCGCGGCCUAUCAGCUUGUUGGUGGGGUAAUGGCCUACCAAGGCGACGACGGGUAGCCGGCCUGAGAGGGCGACCGGCCACACUGGGACUGAGAUACGGCCCAGACUCCUACGGGAGGCAGCAGUGGGGAAUAUUGCACAAUGGGGCGAAAGCCCUGAUGCAGCGGACGCCGCGUGGGGGGAUGAAGGCCCUUCGGGGUUGUAAACCCCCUUUCAGCAGGGGAAGAAGCGAAAAGUGACGGGUACCUGCAGGAAGAAGCGCCCGGCUAACUACGGUUGCCAGCAGCCGCGGGUAAUACGUAGGGGCGCAAGCCGUUGUCCGGAAAUUAUUGGGGCGUAAAAAAGCUUCGUAAGGCGGUUUUGUCCCCGUCCUGCCUGUGAAAAUCCCUGAAGGCUCAAACCUCGGGGCUUUGCAAGUGGGGUACCGGGCCAGACUUAAAAGUGGCGGGUAAGGGGGUGAACUGGGAAAUUCCCCGGGGGGUAACCCGGUGGAAAAUGCCCCCAAAAAUUUCCGGGGGGGAAACCCCCCAAUUGGGCCAAAAGGCCAGGGUCCCCUUGGGGGCCCCCCAAACUUUGAACCCCUUUAA
rnacentral:rRNA from 1 species